CUUGUACUCCCUCUGUCCGAAAAUACUUGUCAUUGAAAUGGAUGUAUCUAGAUGUAUUUUAGUUCUAGACACAUCCAUUUUGAUGACAAGUAAUUCUGGACGAAGGGAGUACUUG
rnacentral:pre_miRNA from 1 species